AUACUUACCUGGCAGGGGAGAUACCAUGAUCACGAAGGUGGUUUUCCCAGGGCGAGGCUUAUCCAUUGCACUCCGGAUGUGCUGACCCCUGCGAUUUCCCCAAAUGUGGGAAACUCGACUGCAUAAUUUGUGGUGACCCCCUGAAGAAGGGGA
ensembl:snRNA U1 U1 spliceosomal RNA